GGUGGUUAUAGGGUCAGGGUUCCACCUCUUCCCAUUCCGAACAGAGAAGUUAAGCCUGACAACGUCGAUGGUACUGCCCGCAAGGUGGGAGAGUA
rnacentral:rRNA from 1 species